rnacentral:lncRNA from 1 species
CAUUACUUAUGAAAAUGAGCCGCAAUUCAAGAUUAAAGUAAUUACCAUUACCAUCGACAAUUAGACAUCCAAAAUCACCACCUAACCAAAUUUCAAAUACGGUGUUUGUAGCCAUUUGAUCAUAACGUAGAUGUAAGACACGUUUGGGGAUUGGAAGAAAUCCCAUCCAUCAUUAUAUAUUUUCACUUGAAAUGAAUAGAAAUUCAGCCAUAAGUCAUGAUUCUUUGCCACCCAUUCUUCACGCUUGAAAAGCUAUAACAGAUUGUUGAUUUCGAAGGAGAAAAAAUAAAAUUUCUAUACACAUUAUGAUGGUCUUAGGCAGGCUCCCCGUGCCCAAUAAAAGAUUGAUCGACUUAAUUCUUUCAUUCACGAAAGUACUUGCCUCUCUCUCGCACCAACUCUCUAGCCCAACUUCUGAUUUAGAUUCUCUCCUGCAGAGCUGGAGUACGAUUUUGGCCGAGUAGGAUGCAGAUAUUUAUUGCUGCAGCACAAAAGCUUCAGACUACUUUUCUAGCCUGCACAAGUUCUCAACUUCGACAGCAUUGUUUUGCGACACCAUGUUGCAACGGUGUUGAUCCAAGAAAAAAUUCGCAAAAUUAAUCGGUAGUAAUAAAAACGUAGCAUUGUGCAUUAAAGCAGCUCGCCUGCAAAUUGCAGUCUUGCCAUCUAAAUGAAUACAGGAAAAAGAGUCAUCAAAAUCAGUGAAGAUAUCCAUGGCCAGGUUCUAAAUCAAUUACCAUGAUGAGAAUAAGUACUUCUGCCAGCUGACAGAUGUUUUUACAACUCGCAUCUAAAACCUUCCUUUUCAUUUAUAGAAAUGCCUAAAGAUAAUGCAUAUAUGAUCAGAUACGCUAACAGUCCUUGCAUCAUCAGAGAGUAUGAGACCUAGCAAGUUUCAAAUUGUAGAUUCGAUCAAACGUGUGCCCUUGUGUGUACACAUCAUCGAGGAGAAGAAGGCCCAGACUAUCACAAACCCAGAAACAGCAUUCUCAUGUGUCAGACUUCUUAAACAUCAUCCACCUUGAAGUCCUCAAUAAUAGAACUUUACACCAAAUCAAAAGGGAAACAACAAUAGCUAGAGACAACAGCAAUCUUUCCUAAAACUAGACUGUGGUAUCAAAUGAUAAGGUCGUCAAAAUUCUUAAAGUCGAGAUCCUAUGAAUCAUAUUGACAGUCCAGAGCGACCAACAUCAGAAAACAGAAAUAUUUAUAGCCAGCUACAAUUCCCAACAAGCAACCACUCUUCCAAUCAAUUAACAUAAAACACCCUUAUCAGACUCUGGAUCACUAAACAUCAAAUCCUUACCUCAGUUUAGCACCAACACCCAUGACUCGAGUAGCUGAUUCUGUAACUUUACAAUGGUCAUUAGACCUAGUAAUCACCAUUACGAUCCAUGAGACUACGUCUAAAACAAUGGUUGUCGGAUCAGUUUGAGAUCCAUAAACCCUAAUGGAAGGUCAUCCAACAUAAAGCAUAAUAGGAGUGUCAGUCAGGAAAGCCUAUUAAAAUGACAAGUCUUAUUACAAUGUCAGAUAUCAAGGGAUUAACAGCUCUAUUAUCAUUGCCCAAAAGCUGGACAUCCAUGCAACUUGAUCUGUCAGAACUAUGAUAUACAUAUUUACCAAAGAUGAGAAAGAAGAGUAGAUAAUUUUAGAUAAUUUAGAAAUGCUUUUCACCAUUGCAAAGAUGAGAAAGAGGAAUAGAUAAUUUUAGAUAAUUUAGAAAUGCUUUUCACCAUUGCAAAGAUGAGAAAGAGGAAUAGAUAAUUUUAGAUAAUUUAGAAAUGCUUUUCACCAUUGCAAAGAUGAGAAAGAGGAAUAGAUAAUUUUAGAUAAUUUAGAAAUGCUUUUCACCAUUGCAAAGAUGAGAAAGAGGAAUAGAUAAUUUUAGAUAAUUUAGAAAUGCUUUUCAUCACUGCAAAAAAGCAGAAGAGAUUACAAGCAUAAAAAUUUAUUACAAGAAAUAUCCAUAUGAUAUAAUGAGAACUCAAAUCCUGUAAAAAUCAAUCACCUAGCGAAAAAGCGCAAUUUACUAGACCGGCAUUAUGAGGUGUACUUCAAUCAAGGCCGUCAUGAAUAGCAUUACAUCUUCAUUUACAAUUGGCUAGCCUAGAAGCGAAAUCUUUUAGAAGGAACAAAAAUGAUGAAAAAAAUAAAGAAAUGCAAACAAAGUAUUGACGAGACUAAAUUCAUCUCUCAUUAACUUUAUCAAAUUCGCAUCUAAAUCUAAUUCAUUGACAACCCUAAUCAUAUCUCAUCUACAUCCUUGACAAUCAAUCGUCUUGGUAAUCUUUCAAUAGCAUUUUCAUUCUCCAUUACUUAUGAAAAUGAGCCGCAAUUCAAGAUUAAAGUAAUUACCAUUACCAUCGACAAUUAGACAUCCAAAAUCACCACCUAACCAAAUUUCAAAUACGGUGUUUGUAGCCAUUUGAUCAUAACGUAGAUGUAAGACACGUUUGGGGAUUGGAAGAAAUCCCAUCCAUCAUUAUAUAUUUUCACUUGAAAUGAAUAGAAACCCAGCCAUAAGUCAUGAUUCUUUGCCACCCAUUCUUCACGCUUGAAAAGCUAUAACAGAUUGUUGAUUUCGAAGGAGAAAAAAUAAAAUUUCUAUAUACAUUAUGAUGGUCUUAGGCAGGCUCCCCGUGCCCAAUAAAAGAUUGAUCGACUUAAUUCUUUCAUUCACGAAAGUACUUGCCUCUCUCUCGCACCAACUCUCUAGCCCAACUUCUGAUUUAGAUUCUCUCCUGCAGAGCUGGAGUACGAUUUUGGCCAAGUAGGAUGCAGAUAUUUAUUGCUGCAGCACAAAAGCUUCAGACUACUUUUCUAGCCUGCACAAGUUCUCAACUUCGACAGCAUUGUUUUGCGACACCAUGUUGCAACGGUGUUGAUCCAAGAAAAAAUUCGCAAAAUUAAUCGGUAGUAAUAAAAACGUAGCAUUGUGCAUUAAAGCAGCUCGCCUGCAAAUUGCAGUCUUGCCAUCUAAAUGAAUACAGGAAAAAGAGUCAUCAAAAUCAGUGAAGAUAUCCAUGGCCAGGUUCUAAAUCAAUUACCAUGAUGAGAAUAAGUACUUCUGCCAGCUGACAGAUGUUUUUACAACUCGCAUCUAAAACCUUCCUUUUCAUUUAUAGAAAUGCCUAAAGAUAAUGCAUAUAUGAUCAGAUACGCUAACAGUCCUUGCAUCAUCAGAGAGUAUGAGACCUAGCAAGUUUCAAAUUGUAGAUUCGAUCAAACGUGUGCCCUUGUGUGUACACAUCAUCGAGGAGAAGAAGGCCCAGACUAUCACAAACCCAGAAACAGCAUUCUCAUGUGUCAGACUUCUUAAACAUCAUCCACCUUGAAGUCCUCAAUAAUAGAACUUUACACCAAAUCAAAAGGGAAACAACAAUAGCUAGAGACAACAGCAAUCUUUCCUAAAACUAGACUGUGGUAUCAAAUGAUAAGGUCGUCAAAAUUCUUAAAGUCGAGAUCCUAUGAAUCAUAUUGACAGUCAAGAGCGACCAACAUCAGAAAACAGAAAUAUUUAUAGCCAGCUACAAUUCCCAACAAGCAACCACUCUUCCAAUCAAUUAACAUAAAACACCCUUAUCAGACUCUGGAUCACUAAACAUCAAAUCCUUACCUCAGUUUAGCACCAACACCCAUGACUCGAGUAGCUGAUUCUGUAACUUUACAAUGGUCAUUAGACCUAGUAAUCACCAUUACGAUCCAUGAGACUACGUCUAAAACAAUGGUUGUCGGAUCAGUUUGAGAUCCAUAAACCCUAAUGGAAGGUCAUCCAACAUAAAGCAUAAUAGGAGUGUCAGUCAGGAAAGCCUAUUAAAAUGACAAGUCUUAUUACAAUGUCAGAUAUCAAGGGAUUAACAGCUCUAUUAUCAUUGCCCAAAAGCUGGACAUCCAUGCAACUUGAUCUGUCAGAACUAUGAUAUACAUAUUUACCAAAGAUGAGAAAGAAGAGUAGAUAAUUUUAGAUAAUUUAGAAAUGCUUUU